GAAAAUUCACCAGCUCAACUGUAUGAGUUUCUUCAACCAACUUAUGAUCGACAAUCUAUAAGUACAACUUUCCGUUAUACAUAUUUUCCUAACUAUUGCUUGCGACAGUAGCCAUCGACAUGGAAGUAGUUGAGAAGAAAAUAUCAAGAAAGAACCAGCAUGGCCUACAUGUUAGAACCAUAGUCUAAAUCUCGAAUGGAGGAGAGAAACUGAGAGCCUACUUUACUGCCACUUCUAUUCCCAACUGUAUACGCAAAGCAUACAUUGAAAACGAAACCCCAGUUAAAAAAUAUUCAGGCGCUUAAAUUUAAUAUACAUAUUUGGUAGGAAUUCAUUAUAUCAUAAAAAUUAAUCCUUUCACAAAAAUGAACACUCAAUCAAUAUAUAUAGCUUCUGACCUUUGACUCUGCAGCAGAUCCCAACAUUUUAAAGAAAAAUAUAAAGAGAAAAUGCCAUCAACACAAAACGAAGAACAUGAUGCUGCGCAUUGCUAGUGUACGCAACCGUCAACAUAUCAUCAUCACUGAGUCUACUGAUCAAAGGCGGUGAUUCACCAUACGUGUCACUCUUAAAACAGUGGGAAUCAUUUGAAACUGUUAACCCCUGCACCAUUCAGAAAAACAAAGCUGCCCUUAUAACAUGGCUGUAGCAACUCACUAGUAAGGUACCUUCAUAGUCAAGUUACAUAUAUAUAUAUAUAUGAUGGACCAGCUACAUCUUUCCAGUGUAUGCAUCUGUCUUGAAUGUUAGAUCAACUGUUUUGUUGAAUUUAGAGUUA